UACAGAGGGUGCAAGCGUUAAUCGGAGUUACUGGGCGUAAAGGGCGCGUAGGUGGUUGUUUAAGUUGGAUGUGAAAGGCCUGGGCUUAACCUAGGAAUUGCAUACGAUACUGAACAGCUAGAGUACUGUAGAGGGUAGUGGAAUUUCCGGUGUAGCGGUGAAAUGCGUAGAGAUCGGAAGGAACACCAGUGGCGAAGGCGGCUACCUGGACAGAUACUGACACUGAGGCGCGAGAGCGUGGGGAGCAAACAGG
rnacentral:rRNA from 1 species